rnacentral:ncRNA from 1 species
CGAGGCGUCCAGUGCGGUAACGAGACCGAUCCAGGAAAAGCUGGCGGGAGCCCCGGGGAGAGUUCUCUUUUCUUUGUGAAGGGCAAGGCGCCCUGGAAUGGGAUCGACCCAAGAGAUGGGCCCAAGCCCUUGAAAGCGUUGCGGUUCCAGCGGCGUCCGGUGAGCUCUCGCUGACCCUUGAAAAUCCGGGGGAGAGGGUGUAAAUCUCG